CGUCUCUCCAUCCUUUUAUUAUUAGUUGUUACUGAAAGCCUAGUGCCAUUUAGAGGAUGGGUCUCUUGAGCGAUAAAGCCACUGAGCUGGCACUAAAGGAAGGUACUCCUUAAGGGAAAAUCUAAGUCCAGAGAGACAACCGGUAACAGAUAGACUGCCCCUCUGCUCACUUUUCUGUUUCACAGACACAAGGUCUUUUUGUCCCAAGAAAGCCUCCUGGCUUAGCUGUGUGACUAAAUGCUAUUUGCCCUCUUCAGUGGACCUCUAUUCUCAAGAUUCCCUUGUUUUCUCACCAUCCCAUUUGAGAUGCUUGUUAGUAACUGUUACAGGUCUUCUUUACCACCGAGGAAAGACAGAAUCCUACUAGAGGCCAGAAAAAGUGUUCCAGAGAUGGAUGGAAGGCCCUCACUUCUGCCUGCUCUCUUCAGACGCCUAAAGGUAGGGAGUGCUCCAGGUCUGCUGCCAGGCUCCAAGGGUGGGUCUCUGAGGGGCUAAAAAAAUGCCCCACCAAUCUGGCUAAGAUAAAAAAAGGAUAAAGAAAAUGUUACAGAAAUUUAAAGGGUUAAGUUAAGUUGCUGAGAGUUAAUAUAAGUUACAGAGAAAAUAAGGUUAAAAAAGAAAGAGGUAAAAAGAACAGAAAGCUAGAGAAGAAAAGAGACAAAAAGAAGAGGAAGUUAGAGAGCUAAAGAGAGAUAAAAGACGAGAGAGGAACAU
rnacentral:lncRNA from 1 species